rnacentral:rRNA from 1 species
GAGCUUGCCUAGAUGAUUUUAGUGCUUGCACUAAAUGAAACUAGAUACAAGCGAGCGGCGGACGGGUGAGUAACACGUGGGUAACCUGCCCAAGAGACUGGGAUAACACCUGGAAACAGAUGCUAAUACCGCAUAACAACAAAAGCCACAUGGCUUUUGUUUGAAAGAUGGCUUUGGCUAUCACUCUGGGAUGGACCUGCGGUGCAUUAGCUAGUUGGUAAGGUAACGGCUUACCAAGGCGAUGAUGCAUAGCCGAGUUGAGAGACUGAUCGGCCACAAUGGAACUGAGACACGGUCCAUACUCCUACGGGAGGCAGCAGUAGGGAAUCUUCCACAAUGGGCGCAAGCCUGAUGGAGCAACACCGCGUGAGUGAAGAAGGGUUUCGGCUCGUAAAGCUCUGUUGUUGGAGAAGAACGUGCGUGAGAGUAACUGUUCACGCAGUGACGGUAUCCAACCAGAAAGUCACGGCUAACUACGUGCCAGCAGCCGCGGUAA